UGGGGAAUUUUGGACAAUGGGCGAAAGCCUGAUCCAGCAAUGCCGCGUGUGUGAAGAAGGCCUUCGGGUUGUAAAGCACUUUUGUCCGGAAAGAAAUGGCUCUGGUUAAUACCUGGGGUCGAUGACGGUACCGGAAGAAUAAGGACCGGCUAACUACGUGCCAGCAGCCGCGGUAAUACGUAGGGUCCAAGCGUUAAUCGGAAUUACUGGGCGUAAAGCGUGCGCAGGCGGUUGUGCAAGACCGAUGUGAAAUCCCCGAGCUUAACUUGGGAAUUGCAUUGGUGACUGCACGGCUAGAGUGUGUCAGAGGGGGGUAGAAUUCCACGUGUAGCAGUGAAAUGCGUAGAGAUGUGGAGGAAUACCGAUGGCGAAGGCAGCCCCCUGGGAUAACACUGACGCUAAUGCACGAAAGCGUGGGGAGCAAACAGG
rnacentral:rRNA from 1 species